AGUGAACGCUGGCGGUAGGCCUAACACAUGCAAGUCGAACGGCAGCACAGUAAGAGCUUGCUCUUACGGGUGGCGAGUGGCGGACGGGUGAGGCAUACAUCGGAAUCUACUUUUUCGUGGGGGCUAACGUAGGGAAACUUACGCUAAUACCGCAUACGACCUACGGGUGAAAGCAGGGGCUCUUCGGACCUUGCGCGAUUGAAUGCGCCGAUGUCGGAUUAGCUAGUUGGCGGGGUAAAGGCCCACCAAGGCGACGAUCCGUAGCUGGUCUGAGAGGAUGAUCAGCCACACUGGAACUGAGACACGGUCCAGACUCCUACGGGAGGCAGCAGUGGGGAAUAUUGGACAAUGGGCGCAAGCCUGAUCCAGCCAUACCGCGUGGGUGAAGAAGGCCUUCGGGUUGUAAAGCCCUUUUGUUGUGAAAGAAAAGCAGCAGGUUAAUACCCCGCUGUUCUGACGGUACCCAAAGAAUAAGCACCGGCUAACUUCGUG
rnacentral:rRNA from 1 species